rnacentral:lncRNA from 1 species
GGGGGAGUGAGAGGGUAGUCAGGUGGGAAUGAAGAAGCUCCCCCUCCUAUUCCCACAAAUGGCCCCAAAGAGGCUUUGAAGUCUCAAUCAUCAGGUAAUAGUAGCCUUCCUCUAAAUUAGAGGAAGAAUGUCUGCCUUGCAACAAAGAUGAUAUUUAAAGAAUAAUCUGCUUUGGGGUACAAGGGGAAGGAAUGCGGAGAAUAGACCAGUUGAAAAGGCAGAUGAGGAUUUUAAAUGCUUCGCCUACAACCUCAAUUGUUGUGGAGCCAAAGAUGCAACAGCUUUGAAGAAUAGAAGAAUUACUCUAUAUUUGUCAGGAUCUACGUGGCAAACAAGCGCCACUUGGCUUACAUUACUUGCCUGGCUUGGAUCCCAUGGAAUGGAGGAGCAUUGGAACCAAGAGGAAAAAAAUUAAAGUGCUUUGGGACAGUGAGCCAAACUCUUACAUAGUAUUUGAAAUGGUGUGGUAAACAUGAAAUUA